AGCUGGAUGCGAAGAGAGGAAAGCGGGUGAAGACACGAGAAAGCACCGGGAGGCGCGCCGCGCGGGUAACACCGCCGCCCCCACCUCCCCCAGGACCCGGGACAAGCGCUCGCCCCCGAGCCCCCGGCCCCCCGAACCGCCCCCCCCCGCCCCGCCGCGACCCCGCCCCGGGAGCAGGGCCCCACCUCAGCGCUCCCGCGGGAUCCUCGCUCUAGCCCCGCCUCCGUCCGGCUCCGCUCCAUCCCGCUCCGGUACAGCCCGGCGACUCUGCGGCGAGCCUGAGCGCAGCGAGGCGGGACUUCCGGCGUUUGAAAAACUUCCGGCGGGAACCGGAAGAUGCGGUCACACACCCAGCAUCCCGGGCCUUCUGACUCGCCGGGCGGGAAGCCUACACCCGGAAACCCCUCUGCCUGCCGCGUGUCACCUGGCGCGUCCUCUCAGCGCGUGGGGGCAGACGUGGGAGAAGCCGGGCAAACCCAGAUUGUCUCUGUACCUCAAGUUAUCGGAGAUGGGGGAGGAAGCGCCCUUUUCACCAUCACAUCAUGGCCUGGUCUGCGUCAACUCCGUCCUUAGCAGGGCGCCUGGCUUCCAGGAGGCUCCGAAUAACUCUUGAGGAAAGGAAUGAAUGAAUGGGAACUCUCUAGGCAACUUUCCUGUAACCUCCCACGCGCCAGAAUGCCAUUCAUAGAAUGUUUGUGGAAUGGGAAGCAAGCCUAGGCUUGAUGUUUGGAGCUCUGGGUUCUAGCUACAUAACCAGAAUAUAGGUUCUCCCUUUGAGUAAACCAUUUCACCUCGCUGGAUCUCAGGCGUCUGAUUUUUUUGUCGUUGUGGUUGCCUUUGUUUUUGUUUUAAAGGUCUGUAUGAGUUCUGAGGCUCUUUCCACGUCUAUUACUUUAUUUUUAUUACGGAAGGAUCUUUGCUCACGUUCCGAGCACUUUUUGUACUCAGGGAAAUUUCUUUAGGUGCCUCUUAAAAAGUUGUUCACCUCUGCUCUUCCUAAAAUUUCUCGUGGAUUUCCCAAUUUUAUUUUAUUUUAUUUUAUUUUUUUAUUUAUAAAAGAUUUAUUUAUUUAUUUAUUUAUUUAUUUAUUUAUUUAUUUAUUUAUUUAUUUAUUUAUUUAUUUAUUUAUGAUGGACGUAGAGAGAGGCAGAGACACAGGAGGAGGGAGAAGCAGGCUCCAUGCUGGCAGCCCGAUGCGGGACUCGAUUCCGGGACUCCAGGAUCGCGCCCUGGGCCAAAGGCAGGCGCCAAACCGCUGAGCUACCCAGGGAUCCCGGAUUUCCCAAUUUUAAUGUAGCGUUUACAUGUGUGCCAGUUUCCUCAUCCCCCUCCCCUUGAUUUUUCAGUUGCCCUUGUUUAGUGCCUCCUCCCUGAGUAAGGUCACAGCAACUGGUUUUGAAUGUGCUCAUGUGUCCACAGAGCUGAGACAGCCUUGAAAGUUAGAAAUCUCAAGUCACUAAGAAUAGGAAGGUUCAUCUAUACCAUCACUCUUUGGAAAGAACAAUGAGUGCCAUGUGUGCUAUUGCCUAAUAGUGAUGGGGAAAAGUGUAUACUCCUCUAUAAAGACCGUUUUGUAUAUAUUCUUAUGUUCAUUUAAUCAAUAGUUAUAGAGCAGCCGUUAAGUGCUAAUCUCUGUUACCGAGAAGUGAAUAAGGCAAAUGUGGUUUCUUCCUUCAUGGAGUUUACUGCCAUAGAGUAAACAUGGGGGAUGCAGACAAUAAACAAGGAUAAUUAUAGAUUGUGCUUUGUGUA
rnacentral:lncRNA from 1 species